rnacentral:rRNA from 1 species
UAGGGAAUCUUCGGCAAUGGACGAAAGGCUGACCGAGCAACGCCGCGUGAGUGAAGAAGGUUUUCGGAUCGUAAAACUCUGUUGUUAGAGAAGAACAAGGACGUUAGUAACUGAACGUCCCCUGACGGUAUCUAACCAGAAAGCCACGGCUAACUACGUGCCAGCAGCCGCGGUAAUACGUAGGUGGCAAGCGUUGUCCGGAUUGAUGGGGCGUAAAGCGAGCGCAGGCGGUUUCUUAAGUCUGAUGUGAAAGCCCCCGGCUCAACCGGGGAGGGUCAUUGGAAACGGGGAGACUUGAGUGCAGAAGAGGAGAGUGGAAUUCCAUGUGUAGCGGUGAAAUGCGUAGAUAUAUGGAGGAAAACCAGUGGCGAAGGCGGCUCUCUGGUCUGUAACUGACGCUGAGGCUCGAAAGCGUGGGGAGCAAACAGG